UUACAGUGCAGCUGAUGCAACUCCCUCAACCUGUGCUGAGCCUACUGCAGUUCCUAAAGCAGAUUUUCCCGUAUUUCUGUUGCUUUUCCCCUUCCAGUUCCUGUGCCUCCAUCAGCAUUGGCAGUGACCUAUGAGCCCAGCCAGAGUGGUUUGGAUUGGGUGGGCACCCAUACUGUCAGGUGAUAAUUGUCAAAGUAUUUAGUGCGUGGAGAGGUUGGGAUGUUGCAUUUGAAACAUUGUAAGAAAGAACUUCAGAAUCCAUCUCUCCCUACCACAUCGGAUUUCAUGUAGAGGAGUGUGUUUGUUCAGGUGCUUUACAGUACACCUUGGAUUUGCCUAUCCCAGCCUACUCCUGCUGGUUUGUUUCAGUAACAUUAGAUGUUCUGUCACAAAACAAAACAAAAAAACAGCUUUAAUCUUUCACGUUUUUUCAUACAGCAAAAUGCCAUGUUUAGUGUUUUCUUGGCAAAAGUAAUGAUGCGUAUUUUCAAUGUGCAUUAAUUUAAAAGGUCUGCACUUCAGCAGUGCUCUCAUAAAUAGUAAACUUGACUGUGCAGUAAGAAAGCUACGUGGAGGCUUCUACUAGAGAGUUGUAAUUGUAGACGUGUGUAGGUACUAGUUAAAACAGGAAGGUCUGUCUUUCUGGAAUGGUCUGCUAGGGUCACUGGUGAAGAUAAAAUCCAGUCUUUCCUGGGCUGUGUUGUGUGACUGUGUGCCAAAGUUGAUAUGCUAUAGGGAUCGUGCCAAGUAAUGUGGGAUUUAAGGGUUGCUCGUUAAUUAAAGGAGUUUUUUGUCUUUUAGAGUUGCAUAAAUGAACCUUUCUUCUAAGAAUUUCUUUUGUUUAUAUAUUGAUGUUCCUUGUUUAUUUGUACCGCCGUCAUCAUUUUUUCUUUAUCUCUCACAUAUUAAUCCAUUUUCAUACCUUGAUGAGAGAAAGUCUGCAUCAGAAUGACUGGCACAGAUAAAGGAGUCCAGUGCUGUGUUGGCUCUGGUUAAAGAUGCAAGCUCAGUGAUGCUGACAGUGGUUAGUGAUAACAGGUGUAAGGAGCUGGCCCUGUUUAUACUGAACCUUCCUGGUGCAGAUUUGUAAUAACUGGCAAUAAAUUGGUUUCUGUUUUGCUUGCUUUUUAACACUGUAGAUAGGGAUGACUGUAGGUUUUAUUUACUAUGACAUAUAGCUAAUUUUCAAUGCUCUUGGUAAGCCUUGGUGUGUUUCUCCUUUUCUUGUGGUAGUGAAGACAAGGAUUGACUAAGGAGGCAGCUGGUGUAUUACAGUGUGUUGUGUAAAUUCCUGCGUUCAUUGUCAUGGCAAAAAAAAGAACAAGCAUAAAAUUUGAAGUUAUGUGAGGAUCAUGUUGUUAUUAAUGUAUGGCAUGUAGAUAACAACCCUUAUUCCAAUGCCAGUACCUGAUAAGAACAGUGAGAUGUGUGACCAGCGUGGGCUGCUGCCACUGACUCACCGUGCAACGACAGGCAAAUUGCUCAGUUUUCUGCAUCUGCUUCUUCUGUUUCUUAAAUGAGAAAUAUUGUUUCCCAGUAAAAUAUUUGAGAGUCUUGGAUAAAAAGAGGUUAUUUUUCUUGUAUGCCUCGCGAGUACGUAAAUUUGAAGCAGGAAAGUGCAGCACAUACCAGCUUCUGUGCAAGUCUCUUACCAGCACAGACAGAAUGAUGGAGUCUUGUUCAUUACGGGUUGUGUUAAAGCAUCUCAUAUUCCUGGAAACCUUAGUAGAACACAGACCAAAAGAGGUGUUUAGGUCUGAUUUCAUACUUGUUUGUAUUCUGUUCAAGCCCUUUUAGUUUUACUAUCUGUCUAGCUAAGCACAGAUUCAAUAAAAUGUCUGAUGUGUGCAUUGAUUAUUGACCAUCUAGUUUUCUCCUAUAUGCCAGGCACUGUGCCACCUUCAGAUGAAGUAGUACAGGGAGCCUUAUAGGGAAGUUUUCUGACAAUAUUCAUCGUCUCUUUCACGUUAUGUUUUUGGCUGUGUUAUUAUAUCACUCAAUUUUCAUGAUCCUUUGGAAUACUUGACCUUUCCAGCACAAUCUGUGUUAGCUUUAUAGUCUUAAUCUCUCUCCUGGCACCUCCUGAAACAAAACACAAAUUAAUGAUGCAGAUACCACAAAACAAAUCACAUGCUGCUUGUUUCUUCCCAACUGUUCUUCAUUGUCAUUGUUUGCUGUAUUGUAUGCCUGUCCUUGUGUAUUCUGUGGUGAAAGGGACCUAAAAAAUGCAGGAAUUUUUAAGGGGGACAGUGGCAGAUAAGUAGAGAAAUGAUGUUAAGGAUUCAAAUAUACAGAGGAAGGUUUAGCUAAACAUAAAAAGAGCACCACUAUUUCAGCGCUGACAAGUGGAUGUUAAUUUUUGGCUUUGAUGCAUGGUUUGGAUUUAAUGAAUUCAGGCUUAUUUUGUGAUAGUCUGUAAAUAGCUUUGGAAGUGGUGGAGGAUACAUGAGAUGUCUGGUCUCUGGCAAUGCAGGAGAGUAUGUGCCAUUGGCUCUUUCUGUAAAUGAUUGCCCUUGUAUUUCUGCAUCUUCAUCUCUUUCCAUUGAAUUUAUCAUCCUUCAUCCUGCUUUAAUUUACUGAAUUUCUUACACUUUCUUUGCAACAAGUGCCUGCUUCGACUUCAUUGUGAUAAAUAAAAAUAAUCCCAUUGAUUACUGUGCUUAGUGCCCCAUUUUAUCCAGCUGUCCUGCCCCACAUUCAGUGAAUGCACAAUCUGAAACUUCUGUUUAGAGUUUCCUUUUACCUUUUUCCCCACAUUGUGACUGUUAUCUACGCUUUUAUUUUUCUUUUUGCUUUUCAUGAAAUGAAUGAUCUUCCCUUGGCUGCAUGCAAUACCUCAACUCUGUUUUACCAUUUGGACCAUGAUUCUGAACGAAGGCGCUGCAUCCUCUCCCUGUGGCCCCUCCUGUCUUCCUUGUGCUGCCGUAGUGCUUGAACCACACAGUGAACCAUGGCGGGGAGUUGGUCUGACUGAAAAAUAAUGUUGCCAAAAUUGUGUUGUUUCUUAAUUCUCCGCUCUGGGUUACCAUAUGGCUGUACAAAUGGCCGUGUCAGCAGUAGGGAGAGGAUGAUGCAAGGCUGGAGACAAGUGGCCAGACACAGGAGUAGGUCAGGAAUGCUGCUUCAGCUAGCAGUGCCAGGUUAUGUCAAAUAAAGAGUUCAUCAGAGUAAUGCCUAAUAGUCCCUGACAUGAUCACAUCUUUUUGAAAUCCUGGUAUCUGUGGCUUUUUUCCUUAACUUCUUUCCCUCUCCCCCAUGUUGUUCAAUGCAUUUUCCAAAGCUGCUUGUUCACGUCAUUCUUAUCAUUAAAAGUGAUCAAUAGGGGCGUCAGCAAAAGAAUUACAAAAAAGAAAAUCUGGAAUCUGAUUCUGGAAUGUUGAAAUAUGUGUUUUAAUUUAAAUUACAAAACUGGACAUCUUAAAUUACAUCAACUGAGACAUGCAAGUAAUACAAAAUAGCAUCUUAAUUGCAUGCUCCCACAGUUGUCAGGUAAAUAGACAUUCUUGCUGGAUCCGAGACCAUAUGUAAUGGUGCAUCUGCCUGCAUUUGAGUGUCAAAAUGUUUCAACUGAAAUAAAAAUAUCUUUUGUUGUUCCUCAAAAGUUCACCAAUUAUGUUCCUUCUGUUCCUUAUUCACUUGUAUCUUGGGAAAAACACAAAACAAAACUCGAUGUUCUUGAACAGUGUGAUAUGCUCCAUUAAUACAGAUUUUCUGAAGCUUUGCUUUGAUAUUCAGUUGUGCAUGCUCUUUCAGGAAGAGAUGAUAUUAAUUAUCCUCUGGUCAAAUCACAUGAGCUAGAGUUUAUCACGUUGUCCUUGCCUUCUUUCUGACUAUUGGAAUCCUGAUUAUUGACCUUCAGAAUUUCCUUUUGUUUCUAGGACAAAAGCGUCAAUCUGGUUCUUUUGAAAAUUAGACUCUGAAGUAAAACAAAAAUCUGAGUUUAAUAUAGAAACAAUUGUGUGUUUGCUUAGACUAUAGGUGAUCAUUUGGUGUUACGAUUUUUUUCUUUCUGGUAAAUAGGUUGUUCUCCCAAGUUUAUUAUCAGCAUCUGAUGCACUGUCCUGCUAAGGGUGAAUUAUUGAAUUCUGGUCUCUAACUCCAAAACAGAAAAUGAAAGCAAUGGCAGGUAAAAUGUAAAUAUCUGUGACUUCUGAGCAUUAGUCCUCUCACUUCUAUACCAUCCCUCAAAAUAUACCAAGGCCUUAUGAUAUUGUGUGUGCAUUCCCCAAGCUGAUACUGCUGUCCUGGACGCACAGUGCUCCCUGUCUCAGAGGUAAUGUUGGCUGCUUCCUCCUAUUCUUGAUGGUUGCAUGUCGUCUUUUUAGUCUGUAUCCAUCCUGUUCUGGUACCUCCCAGUAACAUGGAUCCUCCUGCAAGCUCUUCUCCAUAAGCCAUUACCCUUCUGAAAAGAUGGCAUGAUCUUCAUUCAGGAAUUGUUCUCUAAUUCCUGGGAUAAUAUUUUUCUUGAAUUUCUACUAGCAGAGAUGGUGAUUUUAUUUUCUUUACCUAAAUAUUACUGUCAAACAGUCAGCUUAAUAUCUCUCCCUUGUUGCCUUGCAUAGAUUUUGUGUACUUCCCAUAGAUGUCAUACUUUUAUCUGCAGCUGUUUUGAAAAUGGGCACCUAAGUAAAAGCUCUCUAGUCUCCAUUAAACCAGAUAGUGUUCCACUGCAAAGCAGUUUGUAUACUCUGAAAUUUCUCAGUCGUAUCCAGCAGAAAAUUGAAAGGGGCUUCUUAAUGAAGACAACAAAUCAGGAAAACAAGCUAAGAACAAAGGUGAAUUUCAGAUAAAUGUUCAAACAACUAUAAUGUUAAAACCUUCCCUAUCACCUGUGGUUAAAAAUCGAACUGUCCAUGGAAUUUCAAGAUGAGAUGUGAAAACCAGCUUUGUGGCAUCAUUAGAACUAGCAAUGUAAAGAUGGCAUAGCUACUCCUACUCCAUCUUCCCAUAUUGUGUUUCAGAAGUGUCACAGCAAGCUUACAAAAUGGUUUACGAAAUAUAAAGUGGCAAAAGUAUUUCUGGUUGUUUGUAGAUGCGAGUUACUUUGCUGUAGUGACCACCAUAUGCCAGAGAUGUACAUGCAGCAUAACCUGUUUUUUUCUAAAGCCUACCACAAAGAAUGCAUAAGCUGUGUGUGUUUGGGUAUCUGUCCUCUUCAGUUAUUUAUUUUGGAUUUCUUGAGAGCUAGAUGAGAUUUUUCUGCACUUCCAUGAGCUCUGUCAGCACUUGCUCACUCUACUUGGCACCUCUUCAUUUCUCUCCUGUUUUUUCAGCAGAUUUUCUUAGAGGAAAGCAGAUGAUCUAACACUGAACAAAUUCUAAUUUGUGUUUCUCUUUAUAUACUUUGAGAGGACAGAUGGACAAGUCUGUUAUUUAAUAGUGCUUCUUAAAGAAUCAGCACAGCUCCUAGCAGUCUGCCUGCCUGUCACCAGCAGGCGCAGGCUUCUUGCUAGUUUUAUGUUAAAUAACAGGGAUUUCUGCUCUUGGGAUUCCAGCUGUGACUUAGAGAACAGCACGUUUUUGGAUGGACACUGUGGAUUCCUCAUACUCUUGGGUGGCGAAAAAAGUUAUUUUUCUUUGAGAAAGUUUUGGGUGACCUUCUGUUGAAUAAUCAUGCUGUGCUGGUCCUUGGAGAGUGGGAGCUUCUUUUCAAAGGGGUAAGGCUGCGAUGGUGGUAAACUCUUCAGCAUAUAGCCUCUGUCUGUCAUAUUCAUUAUUAAGAAAUCCCUGAUGCCAGCUCUUGAAUCUGAAAAGGACAAGCUUUGAUUCAUUUCUUCUUUACGUUUUUCUCUUCUCCACUGCCUGGAGGAGCAGUAGGUGCCUGUUACAGUCCACCACUGUUUCACUUGUCCUUAGCAUCACUGUGCCCAGAGACCAAGGGAUCCAGUUGGAAUCACACCGCUUGUGUACUCUGGCUUCCCAGUCUCCAGUUUCUGACCAUUCUGGCGCAGAAGAGAGGGUCCUUUCCAGUGUUGGCCAAAGCUGGGAUGACUUAAACAUUUAUUGGAGUGUGUAAGGACCCAUGGAGCUGUGUUUUUUUACUCUUCAUAGCUUCCUGGAGAUGUUCAGUCCUUCCUAGCAAUGGGUCACCCUCCUUCCUGAGUUGCAGGGAACAAAUUACAUGCUGUUGUCACACGUUUCCACAGAAAACGUCAACAAUUUCACAGCAGACUGGGGUGUUAUCAGUAUUUACUCAGUUUCCUGACAAUUCUGGGCCUGUGGAGCUGAUAUUGGCAGCCCCAUUCCAACGGCAUCUUUUCGAGAUGGCUAGUUGCUAUUUACCAAUCCCUUGCGACAGAUACUUGCUGGUGACUACUUAUUCUCUGGUCAGAGCUGCUGGGCUAACAGAACUGGGUAGUGGUUUGCUCCUGACUUACCACGCUUUGUGUCUUUGUGUACUUGUUAUGAAAGAAUUGGUUUCCAAGCAGAACUGAUUGUGAUUGGUGAUAUUGUGGUGAGAACACAUUGCUAUUUAAGUAGUAAUUGCAUCUUGUCACUGAGGAUGGCCAUUUGUGCUGCUAGUGUCUCUGUUUUUUGGAGAAUGUCUCUUCUGCACAUCUAUGGGAGUGCAGCAAAGACCUUAUUCCCUCUGCUGAGCAGAGAGAAGCUCCUGCAACUGCUUCAAAUUCACCUACAGUGCAGUGUGUAUGUGAACAGAAACUGGAGAACAGAGGGAACCCAGUUAUUUGAUUUCUUUCUUAACAAGUGCAUUCUAUACAUUGCCAUACGUCACUCUUCUUUUAGUCUUUUAAUAUUGGGAUGUGACAAUUGAUGCCUUCCAAAGCACUUUGGCAGCGUUAGACUGCAUGCGUGCUGGAAGGCUUAGUUAAAGCAGAAACUGAGUUUGUGGCAUUGAGGUACUGGGGCAGGAUGUGCACAGGAGGGCACACCAUAAGGAGCUCAGAUAAUUGACUAAUGAAAAAUGCCUCAUGCUCAGAACUGGCAAACAGUGUUCUUGAGUGAUGUUAGGGCACUGUUACUGCUAAUAGAGUAUGGAAAAAUUAAUUUAUAUUAACAAGAAAAAAAAAAACCUGCCAGUAAAGCUUAUUUUUUUAAUUAUUAUUUUGUAGUGGUAUUAAAUAAGAGAAUCUGAUGAGUUGUAUUUAAAGCCCGAGAACCUAUCUUUACUGCAGUUGGGAGAAAUAUUUUCUGUAGGCAAUAUAAAUAAGCUGCACUUCUAAGAUAAUACAGCUUAUCUAUUGGCUAAAAAGUGUUUGGCAUAGCCUUUUUUAUUUUUUUUCCCCCUCUAAUAGAGAUGUUGAGUCCUAGUUUAUGAAAAAGCUUUGGAAGAAGCAGUCCAUGGCUGCUGUACUGAUGCUGCCUUAUAAUAAAAAGUCUCAUAAAAGCAUUAUUUUUAGGAUGUUGUACCUUUGUCCUUUAGGGGAAAAAUAAUUCCCAUAAGAAGCAGAAGUUUUACUUUAUGUCAGAAGAUUGCAAUUAAAUUGAGGAAGCUGAAGGCAUGUUUAAUUUAACUGUAAGAGUGCCUGUAGAGGUGGGUGUAAGACAGGUUGGCCCUGACUGCAGAGGCACAAGAAUGAAAAGAGUUUCCAAGCGUGGUGCCCACCUGGAGCAGUGCAGGUUGUGCCAACUUGGAGAGCUUGUCUCCUUUUAAUGCCGUCUCUGUAGAUUCAUUUGUGUGGGGUUAUGCUGUUCCUUCUCCACAUGAUUUCUGCAGUAGAUCCACUUUAAAAAAUGAAUGUGAUCUUUUAUCUUCAUGGUGUCUCUUAAUACUUAUACAAGCUGUAAGUUCUAUUCUCGUUUUAGAUAUCAAAAAGCUUAGCUUUGGAAAGCUGUAUCUUGUUACUGUCAACAUGCUUUUUACAUUAUGAAUAGACUUGCAAUUAAUCAGUUUUCCUGCGUUGUUUUCUCUCCCGAAGGUUUUAUUUUGAAGGAGAAUCAUCACUAAGCAUUACUAGGCAUUGAAUUAGUUCCCUUUGGACAGAUAGUAGGGAAAUGAAGGAGGAUGAUGUCCUCAUGCCCAGAUUCAUGUGGGUUUCAUGAUUCAUGUGACUGUGAGGCUCUUUAAGUGGAAGUCAUUGAAUAUGCAGGUCCUUCACUGAUUUUUCUGAUUGGGGGGAAAUCUUUUAAAAACCUUUUGCUAUUUUCUGUAAUGCGGUGUAAACAGUGAUGUCCUUUCACAAGCACAUGGAAGGCUGUUCUGUCUGCUGUGCCCACCUCAGGUAAGUAGGACACAGAACAACAAAGAUAGGGGUGGAACAGGCCAGAGAGAAAAGCUGAAAGGUGAUAAAAGAGGUAGGCAUCAUGUGGAGAAGGAUUUGGACUGUGAAUGGAAUUGAACAGUAGAAAAGGGGGAUUGUUCAGCCUUGAGAAGUGAAGGAAGGAGGGAGAUGGAAGGGAUCAGGAAAACUUGAAGAAAGGAGAGAAAUGAUGUAGAGCUGAUGGUUUCAGUAAUUAGCCUUGUAGCUUCAAUGUGGCAACUGCAUCAGCUUGUGAAUAUGUAAUGUGCAGGCCCUGUGUUUGUGUCUGCCUUUCCAGGGGAAGCAACAGUGGCCAAAAAGCGCCAGCCUAUUUUAAGUUAUUUUUAAGAACGAAACAUAAGCAAGAAUUGUGAGGAGUUUUAGAACUGCGUUUUCCUUUAGAUAAAACAUAAAAUCUCUAGAAGAGCUUACUCUGGGCAUUUGGGAAGCUGAGCUAGAUUCUUCAUAAAAAGUUCAUGUGCAUUGCUUUUGAGUUUACAUGAUCUCACCAGUAUGGUUUCUCAUUUGUUGUCUUAUGUCAAAGCUUUCCUCCAUUGUUCCUUUUUUGUCUGUUAUAUCUGAUUGAUUUCUUUUUGGCUUUUGUUAAUCUUUUUUCUUCUGUACUGUGUUUUGGGUCUAUGCAGUUGGUCACCUCUGCACCAUGGAGAAGGGGUUAACAAGCAAAUGCAGCUUGGUGGUUCUUUGUAAUUUCUGUGCAUGUUAGUGUUGCUGGAUCUGAUCACACCUGAUUUGAUGUUGAAUUUUUCCCCAGAGACUCCCUGCGACUUUGGGAUGGCUGACAAUAGGAUGAAUUCCAGAUGUUCCAUCCUCCUGCCACCAGCAGUGUCUUGCCUGGGGCAUUAUUCAGAGGGAGACACUGCAGCUCUCAUGUGCUCUGUAUUUUGAGUUGGUUCUUUCACAGUAGCUUCUGUUCCCCUUUAGAAAAAGGAAAUGAAUCUGUCCCAGAAUGUUGACUGCUUGGCUUUGAGCAGAAAGCGCUCACUGAUGGCCUCAAAGGAAAGGUAUUCAAGGAAGCGAUGACUUUAUUUGCUGGCAGAAUAGCAUCUCUUCCACUACUUCAGUAGAAAACAGUAGAGAUUUGAAUUCUUACCCAUACCAAAGGGACAAGAAGCUGAGAAACUUGAGUUCACUCUGCAAAUCUUUGUUCGUUAGAGACUCUUGCUUUUACCAUCUCUGUCGAAGGACUUCAAUCCUUUUAGCUUCAGGGAGGCCUGGAGGAGUUUCAGAGUCUGUCAGAGAUUCACAUCUCAGCAUACCGACGUUUGUGCGGUGUGCUGAUGAGAGGGGCUUUCUGUGUAUGAUGAUUAUUUCAAUUACUUUACCAGUGCAAGUCCAUGUGCAACUAAAAAGUGAAUUAUUCUCCAAAAUAGUCUCAAAAGUUGGGCGGAAAAAGUGCAGUCUAAUUUUAAGUCCUUCACUGUGUUUGGCUUGGGCCACAAGUGUGCUUGAGAAUGUAGUUACUUCCUCAGUGUACACAUUGUAACAUCAUUUUCUUUCUUAAUUUGUUUGAGCUUUUGCCUUGUCUUUGAUAGGAGCUUUGGCUAAAUGUCAGCAGUCCCCAUGAUAGCUUUUAAUGAGUUUCCAAACAUUGAAUGUUUGGUAUCGUAGAAGUAUAUUGAUUUUACGGUCAAUGAACGUGGCUGAAUAUGGCAAAAUGAGGCUUUUCUUAAUUAAAAAAAAAAAACAAACUGUUUUAACUUCUGGUAUUCGUAAUGUGGCAGCUCUGCUGGAAACGUGCUCACCGAGGGUAGCAUCAGGUCUCCACUGUCAGUUUUCCAUAGACUACCAUAUGCUUCCAGAGCUUGUUCCUUCUGUUAUGAGUUUGAAAUGGACACACAUUUGGUGGGUACAGUAACUCAUUACCUAAAGCUCCUUCUCAUUGGAAAUGAGUUGUAAGCCCUUAGAGCAGGUCAGGCCCAGCCGUUGUGGUGCUGUUCCUCAUGGCACCCAGGCUGGCUGUAAGGUAGUGCAUUGUGACUUUCUCUUUACUGACAGCCUGGGCAUUAGAACUGCUCUUUGUUGGCUGCAAGAGUAUUUGUUCCACGUGUUUCAGUGGAAAGGAAGAUUCAAAUGUGUUCUUUUUUUGUUAAGCGUUUUGUAAAUCUUCUGUAUACUGGAAGGUGAAUUAGUGUGGGUUGAAGGCUCUUAAACCGAUCUGCUGCUUCAAUCACUUGACUUUAGGAAUACAGCAUUGUUUUUCUCUUUGAUUCUUAAACACUGAGGAAAGGCUAAGAUAGGCAGUUGAACUGCAAAUGUUAUGUAACAUAGCGCAUAUUCAUUUUUUAACAUCAAACUUUUACAUCUAAGUAGAGCUAACUUCACUGCUAAAACUAAACUUUACAUAUAAAGAUAAAUUUAUCACUUGAUUAAGACUUCAGAGAUAAACUUUUAUGGUUAAGUGAUUUUUAUCGCAAAAAAGUAAAUGUAAGUUAUGAGUAAGGAGUGGCCAGAGCUGCAGCCUGCUGGAUGUUUUCUGAAGACAAAUAACAGAUUAUUUAAUUACAGGCAAGGUGUUGUCACAGGUGAUGAGCUCUUCCCUUGUUGGUUUGCUGCCAGAGUAUCAGCUCUUCUUGUUUUUUUAAUAGCAGCAUGAUAAAUAAUAGGGUGGCAUAAAGCUUGUCAUAGUCUUUCAUAGUUUUGUAGUACUUUCUCCUUUUAAUAACUUGCUGCUUUUGAGCUCUGUCACAUGCUAACUCCAAGUGUGGGUGCUUGCUUGUCCUGCUCAACUGUUUUAUUCCAACUGGAGCUGUGAUCCAUUUAUUCUGUUGUUUAGUUAGCUUACUGGUUUGUAGUGUUGUUGUGCUCCUGCUUCUUUGGGACAUGAAGCUUCGUACUGAGCUGAGCCAAUGUGUUGAAGAAGCUCUGGGGUCUCUGUUUUGCUGAACGUGAGUGCUCUUGAGGAGAAGCUGUUUGCCUUCUCAGAACACUGAAAUGUAGAGUAAAUGAAUGACUGCAUCUCAAGCCAGCAGUAUCUUUUCUUGAGUGGUGCUGGUUUUAGAAGUUUUCAGGUCUGAGCAGAAUGCUCAGGCCAUUUUUCUCAAUAGAAUGUUUUACUAAAUGCAAUGAAUGAUGCUUACUGUUUUCAUAUAGGAAACACGUGUCCCUUGCCUGAGAACUAAUUCACUGUUAUGUUUAAUUAGAAGUCAGCUUCUUUUGUAUCAUUAUGUGAGAGGUAACUGUCUGGGCUGAGAUGAAUAGAAUAUAAUUACAAGUUUUGCCUCUUUGAAUUUUACUUUCUCUUGGGUAACAUGGCGUGACUUCAUUUUGGUGCCGGUUUGUGUUUAAAAAUAUCCUCUUUCAAAGUUUUGUGGCUGUUCAAGUUCCAUUCCUGCUAUUUUUGCCUUUACUUUUAGAAGGUGGAAAUGUAGAGAUGUUUUUGUUGCAGUAUCUUCACAGUUAGCCUUGGUCAUGAGCUGCUGCUUUCUGCUCCAUUGGUAACUACUGCAGUUUUUGUUAAUUUUGUGGAAACUUCCAAGUAAUACUGUGUAAUUCUGCAGAGAACAAAACUACAAGGAAAAAACAAUAGCCAUUUUCAGGAAUAAAAGCAAUAAAACUUGAGUAUUUUCAAAUCUGCUCUGAUAAGCCCUAAGAAUUAUAAACCUCUUAAAUAAGGUUGGGGCAUUGCCAUCCUCUUGCAUUACCUUUUCUCCCAAUACUGUUUUUACAGAAGCAUUGUAUGCUUCUGUAAGUUUGUCACCUUCAAAAGAAAGAAAUGCAUCCCAAAAGUGAGGGUAAUUUUUCUUUCUACAUGUUUAUCUACUGAGUUUGUAGAGCUUAAAAUGUUUGAAGUGUGUAGAGUCCGGGGUCUGAGCCUAGAAUUUCAGAGGGUCAUAAUCCCUGACAGAAUGCUGUGGUUGAGGUCAGCAUGACACAGCUUUGGAGAACCAUUGGGUUGGCUUCAUGUUGCACCUCAUAAGAAAUACAGAUGGAAUCAUGCUGUCUUUUUUUUCUGGACAGGAUCUAUGAAAAUGACCCUUUUACAGAGUAGAUUUUUAUAGUUUACAAAUCUGGGAAGCUUAGACCACUUCGAGAUCACUUGAGAAGCAAAACUCCCCCCUCUCCAGGUUCUUCUAUUUUUAUUUCAGCUUCAAAGGCUUCAUAACACAGCUGCCAUGACUAGAACUAAUGCUGCCCAUUCAGCCAGCUGCUAUGGAUUGAUCUGUGUGUAUUCCAGUGGUUGGUAACCAGAUCUGAUUUUCUCCAUUGCUCUUUUCUGUUAAAGCUGCCUUCUGGUAAUUGUGGAUGAGGCUUGUUGGGUAUAGAGAAUGCAUGACUUGUUCUUUUACAGUCAUAUCAAGUUAUAACAUGCAACUUUGUAGCAUACAGAGGUGUUUUUCCCCUGCUUUAUCUACUCAGUUGUAUCCAGUGGUUGAAGGCCAGCAGUUUGUAUUUUAUUUUUUCUCUUUUGGCUUCUUAAACUAUGUUAAAAAUGCAGCUUCUGGUUUUAGUUUAUCUGAACUUGCAGUGAUUUCAGCUUUUUUUUUUUACUUUUGGUGAGCAAAUAGUUUAGGCUUCCCAACCUUACAGUUGCAUGGAAACUAGAAUUUCUUUUUAGUGCAAAAUCAAAUUUAAAACUAUUUAACCUAUUUUAGGGAACAUGUUAAAAAAACUUACUGCGAGUUUAUUUUGGGAAGUUUCUAUCAAGACGAUAUUUUGGUAAUGUUCCUCUAUAACCUCCAUUUAUUAAAUCCUAUUAUAGAAUUGAGUCAUGAAACCAAAAUAAGAAAUCCAGCUUUGGGAAUAGGAAGUGUUGUAUUAGCAAUCAUCUGUGUUAGGGUCAUGGACUGCCAUUUUAAAACAUAUUUUCAAAUAAGGGCAGGUUCUGAGUCUAAUCCACUUGAAAUCAUUGGAGGUGGAAGUGAGUUUGGAAAGCUGUUCUGUUCAUUCCUAAUAGUCUUUUAAAAGAAUAAAAAGCCUCCAAAUAUCAUAAUCUAGCAGCUGCGUACCAAGAAAGAGGUGAUUUGUUUUAUUAAUACAUUUGCAUAUUUAUUUAUAAUACUUAAAAAAUAGAGGGGUAGUUAAAUUCACCAUUCUGUGAUACUUAAUACUCUUCUUCCUCAUCCUCUGUGCAGGCAGCUUUAUCCUUUUCUGCCCUUACACAAAGAACAUUGUGUGUGGGAAGGUGCGGUGAGCUGGGCCUCACCCUGGCUUGCAAUUGGCUUCGGUCAGCUGUAAAAUUUGGUUGUUUUAGUGUUCUGGCCUCCCUGAUGGCUGUAAUGACCACUGGGGACCCAUCCAAUAACAUCUGGUAAUGAUCUGUUACUUAUUGUGACCUUGUCUCUUCCCUUCUUUGACUUCCUGCAAAUUCACAGCAUCUGUUUUCAUAUUACAGGCUUGAAACUACCAAUAUACUCUAAGAUGUUCCUGGCUUCAGCAGCACGCUCAACUUCCUCUUGCGCUGUUAUUCUUUUCCUAAAGUGUUCCAUAAAGCUGUCACACUAUGAUCAAGUGACUCCUUAGAGAUUGGCUCUAGGUUGUUGUUUACAGAAAGCUAUGAAUGCAGAAUGGCUUAAUAGAGAGAUAGCAGCUCUGUUUGGGCUCGUUAGGGUGCCUACGGGUACACCGGAUGUAGCAGGUUGCCAGUCAGAAUGUGGUAUGGACUAUUCUUGGAUAAUACAUUUGAAACUUAAGAUUGGAUUCAAAGUGAACCACGUUGAGCUUAUUUGGAGUCUAGAUUUGUAAUUCCAUUUAUUUUCGUUCUAUGCAAAUUUUCAGUGUCACCUCAGGUCAUGCCUAAUCUGGAGCAGCUUCCAAGCUUCCCAUACUGUCCUAUUUCAGACCCAAAGAAGAGAAAGUGAGAAGCUGAGUUUGAGGCCUUGUUUCAGAGCACUGGGUGUAUGGCAGUUCAAGUAUAAUGAGUAUUGAUGUUAAUUAGUCAGAAGCAUCACUUAUAAUAGACUGUUCUGUUAGCUGCAGUCUUAUUCUUGGGGGAAGGGAGGAGAGCAAGAGGGUACUGUUGAGUUGAAUGGUUUAGUUUUCAGAUGAAGCAGUAGAUUGCUGUGGUGCUACUGAACUAACUUUCUGCAUUCUGUUAUGCAUGUUCCAGCUUUCUCUAACUGAUUGUCUGCUAUCCUGUGUAGGGUGACCAAAUACUUAUUCAUAUUUUCAUUUAUUAUUUUUAUAUUGGAAAGAAUGCAAUAUUGGCAGUGAUGGAGGAAGACACUUCAUCUUGUAGUUGCAAUUAUAAAAAUCCCACUUGAUGUCGUGCAGCAGUUGCUCAGAUUUGAAACCCCAAUCACAAGUAGUAUUGUAAAGCAUUUCCCAAGGAGGGGUUCAUUUACAAAAAGUGUCUUCAAAUAAUUUUAGGACUGAGAGUAAUUAUUAAAUUAGUUGUCAAGCCUGUACCAAAAUCCACAGCCAAUCCCCCAAAGCCACACACAUGAAAGAUGUUGUAAUAUGUUGUAUAAAUCUUCUAUAUUUUCUUUGCACUUCUUGUAGUUCUUUUCUCCUAAUUGAGUUAUGUGGAUAAUGUUAGUAUCUGCAUCAUCAACUACAUCCACACUACAUUAUAUUUCGAGGAUUUUCUAUAAGUCCAGCCUACUCUUCCACCUGUUGUAUCCAAUUUGUGUGAUGUGCUGGUCCCAGAUCAGCAGAUGGGCUGUGCAGUGGCAGUAGAUGUCUUCUGGGUCACUAGAACUUGUAAACAAAUUGGAAAGCAUUUCAGAAGCUUUGCUCUUAAUCUGGCAGUGCAGUAGGUUCUUCAGAUUAGCCAUGAAAAAGAAAAUUUCUCAUGUCCUUGCAUGCAUUUGGGCAUACUGCACUAUACGAAAGUAGUUGUCUUAUGUGCAGUACAGGCUGCUAAGUCUCUUAAAGUACUUUUUACUUUGAGUCAGCAAAUCAGUUGCGCUCUUGGAUAAACUAAAUUUCAGUUAAUUACUUUCUUAACCAACUGCUUAAUUAUUAAGCUGCUUAAAAUGGGUUAGUUUAUUGUAAGCCAAGCAAGUUGUCAUUUUACAGUUUUAUAGAAAAGAAUAGAGAAUGCUGAAAAUUCACAUUGGAAGCUUCUGUAUGCUCUUUAAUGCCCUAACCAAGCAAGUAUCACAGGAAUGUUCUGCCCUUUGAUAGGGAACACUCCCUAGAAUUGCUUCAUUGCUUGAAACCUGAGCUGAGGCAGGAACUGCACGGCUUACUCCCUCUGUAGACCUGAGAGACCCUGUGUGGACAGUAAUGACCGCACGUUUCCGAUUGCCUGCUGGCAGAACCUACAAUGUACGAGCAUCUGAGCUGGCACGAGACAGGCAGCAUACGGAGGUGGUCUGCAACAUUCUUCUCCUGGAUAACACUGUACAAGCUUUCAGAGUUAAUAAACACGAUCAGGGACAAGUUCUGUUGGAUAUAGUCUUCAAACAUCUCGAUUUGACAGAGAGGGAUUACUUUGGUUUACAGCUGGCGGAUGAACCCACUGAUAACCCUAGGUGGUUGGAUCCAAACAAACCUAUCAGGAAACAAUUAAAAAGAGGAUCUCCUCACAGUUUGAACUUGAGAGUUAAGUUUUUUGUAAGUGACCCAAACAAGCUCCAAGAAGAAUAUACAAGGUACCAGUAUUUUUUACAGAUUAAACAGGACAUUCUUACUGGAAGAUUGCCCUGUCCAUAUAAUACUGCUGCUCUUCUGGCUUCCUAUGCUGUUCAAUCUGAGCUGGGAGACUACAACCAUUCAGAAAACCUGCCAGGCUACCUCUCAGACUAUUCUUUCAUCCCUGGCCAGCCUCAAGACUUUGAAAAAGAGAUAGCAAAGCUACAUCAGCAGCACAUAGGGUUGUCUCCUGCAGAAGCAGAGUUCAAUUAUCUCAAUACAGCACGUACCUUAGAACUCUAUGGAGUUGAAUUGCACUAUGCACGGGAUCAGAGUAACAACGAAAUAAUGAUUGGAGUGAUGUCAGGUGGAAUACUGAUCUUUAAGAACAGAGUACGAAUUAACACCUUCCCAUGGUUGAAGAUUGUAAAAAUUUCUUUUAAAUGCAAACAGUUUUUUGUUCAACUUAGGAAAGAAUUGCAUGAAUCCAGAGAAACAUUACUGGGCUUCAAUAUGGUGAAUUACCGAGCAUGUAAGAACCUGUGGAAAGCCUGUGUUGAACAUCACACGUUCUUCCGUUUGGACCGACCGCUCCCCCCUCAGAAGAACUUUUUUGCACAUUAUUUCACUUUGGGUUCAAAGUUCCGGUACUGUGGGAGAACAGAGGUCCAGUCUGUGCAGUAUGGCAAAGAAAGAGCAAACAAAGACAGGGUAUUUGCAAGAUCCCCCAGUAAACCUUUGGCACGGAAACUCAUGAGUGGGAUGGACUGGGAAGUAGUGAGCAGGAACUCUCUGUCUGACGAUAGGUUAGAAACCCAAAGCUUACCAUCACGGUCUCCACCUGGAACCCCAAAUCACCGCAACUCCGCCUUCACUCAAGAAGGAGCUCGGUUACGACCCUCCUCAGUUGGACAUUUAGUGGACCAUGUAGUUCACACUUCACCAAGUGAAGUGUUUGUGAACCACAGAUCUCCAUCUUCCACCCAGGCUAACAGCAUAAUACUGGAAUCAUCACCAUCUCAAGAAACUCCCAUAGAUGGGCAGCCUCCUGCAUUACCACCCAAACAAUUCAAGAAGAACAGUUGGAACCAAAUUCAUCAUUCACACUCACAGCAAGAACUGGAUAACCACAUCAAUGAAGCAUUUGAUGUCCCUGCAUCUCCUGAAAAGUCCACACCCAAUGGUGGUGUUCCCCAUGACAAUCUUGUUAUGAUCAGAAUGAAACCAGAUGAAAACGGAAGGUUUGGCUUCAAUGUAAAGGGUGGAUAUGAUCAGAAGAUGCCAGUAAUAGUGUCCCGGGUAGCUCCAGGAACGCCCGCUGAUCUUUGUGUCCCUCGUUUGAAUGAAGGAGACCAGGUUGUACUUAUCAAUGGCAGGGAUAUAGCAGAACAUACCCAUGAUCAAGUUGUUAUGUUCAUUAAAGCUAGCUGUGAGAGGCACUCAGGGGAACUUGUGCUCCUCGUUCGACCCAAUGCUGUAUAUGAUGUUGUGGAAGAGAAGCUGGAAAGUGAACCUGACUUCCAAUACAUCCCUGAGAAAUCUCCACUUGAUGGUGUCCAUCAAGAUGAUAAUGCUCUGAGAGAAUCCAUGAUUCAGCUAGCAGAGGGGCUUAUCACUGGAACUGUUUUAGCUCAAUUUGAUCAACUGUAUAGGAAAAAGCCUGGAAUGACAAUGUCUUGUGCCAGAUUACCUCAAAACAUUUCCAAAAAUAGAUACAGAGACAUUUCGCCUUAUGAUGCUACACGGGUUAUUUUAAAAAGUAAUGAAGAUUACAUCAAUGCAAAUUAUAUAAAUAUGGAAAUCCCUUCUUCCACAAUAAUAAACCAGUACAUUGCCUGUCAAGGUCCAUUGCCAAACACUUGUCCUGAUUUUUGGCAGAUGACUUGGGAACAAGGCUCAUCUAUGGUUGUAAUGUUAACAACUCAAGUUGAACGGGGCAGGGCAGACUCCCUGCUCUAAAGCUGAUCAUGAGGCUUCUGACAUCACUAUCCCACUGCAUGCCGGGGUGUCUCAGUGGAGCAGGAAGUCUGCAAAUCUGGCUGCUCUUAAAGAAUCGCCAGGUUAAAUGCCAUCAAUACUGGCCAGAGCCAUCAGGAAGCUCAUCGUAUGGCAAUUUCCAGAUUACCUGCCAUUCAGAAGAAGGAAAUCCUGCUUACGUCUUUCGAGAAAUGAC